AUAUAUAAAUAAAAAUUGAUUGAUUGAUUGAUUACCUCGCAUCGAAAGUCAAGACUGUCUGUUGUACAAGAAAAUUCUUUUAAACAAGGUAAGAAUUUGAAAUUGUGUUGUUUUAAGGGAAAGUGCGUUUUCCAUGCACAUUUAUGGUUAGUAGCAGGGUGGACAACUACAUUACAGACUUUAACAGACUGUCUUUGUAUUUUGUGCACUAGCGCUAGCUAACGCUAGCUAACGCUAACGCUAGCUAAACAAGGUUGCAUCAGUUGCUCCUGCAUAUGGCAAUGCUUUCAUUGCUGUUGUUUGACACGAGAAAAGUUAAUAUUGUUGCUAAUGUUAUUUUGUUGGCACGUAAGGAAAUACAGUGAUAGUAUGAUGAGGCUCGUUUUUUAUAGUGCUUGAACAAACCAAGAGAGGGGCUGUCCUGCUCUGUGUCUGGACAUGUUUGUACCCAGGGCGGACUGGGCUCCCCACUACACACAGACAAAACAGAGCUGGCAGUGGAGCUAAGUGAGGUGAAGAAAGUGAAACUCCUUGGACACAUUUUAUCGAAUUGACGGCUGAAAUGCACACUGCUUUGAAACAGAGGUAGCCUGCAUUGUUCACAAUGGAUGAGAUCAAUGCUGAAUGCAUGAGAUUAAACAACUGUUCCACUUCAACCGUGAUUCCUGGCUUCCUUGGACAAGCACCACGGCAAGCUGAUUGAAAUCAUCAGAAACAAGGGAGGAGUUGUCAGAGACAAGACCCGGAAUAUACUGAAAGUUCUUGAUCAGGUUGUUCAGCAGGAUGAUGCUUAAACUGAGCUUCAAAGGUGUACAAUGGCAGUGUUUGUCAUCAGGGAGGAGGAGGAUCCUCUCCAGCCACCACAUGACAUUGGGAUUGUUAUUGAUGAUGUGGAAGUCCUUAAUGAGCUGCAAUUGGUCGCACACGCAUGUGCCAUGUUAUAUGGUGUCAACUAUGCUCUAAACCUGAGCUAUCCAAGUGAACUCAGAUACACUUUUGAUGGACUGCAGAAAAUAUUCAUGGAGAUGGCAUCAAAGAAAAUGACACGCAGAGUGUGCAGUCUGAGUGUCCAGCUCUAAAUACUGGAUUGAUCAAAGAAAGACAUUUGGAUACAGCAUGUUUUUUUGUUCUGUUUUAUAGCUCGUAUUCAAAUACAUUCCAGGAUAAUGGAAGGGGUCAUUGUUAAAUGUAAAUGAGUGAAACAGACUUUAAUUCAAAACUGGCCUUCUGAUUUUUCUCUGUUAACGGAGUUCGGUCUGUGGUAUGAAUAUUAUGGCACUGAUAUUAACACUGAAAAUGUGAAUAAUGCUGAAUUCACAAUGACCAGCAGUUCAGUUGUACUAGUAAUUCUAAUGUUUGUUCUUAAACUGACUUAUGCCCAAAAGACCAGUGUUUGUUCGUAGAUUGUACCCCCAGUGAUUGAACUGUAUUUUUUCCUCUUUUUUUUUGUCUCUUGGUCUGCAUUUGUAAUGGUUCAAAUUUUAUCAAUGGAUAGCUGUUAGAAACUCUGUUUUUACACUUAAUGGCUAUUAGAUCAGGGGUUCUAAACUGGUCUCAGCCUGGGACCCACAUUUUCCCACGGUCAUUAAGUCGCGACCCACUUUUAUAGAAUACAAACCAGACAAAUUUAUUUUUGAAAAAUAACCUUGAAAAACACAUUUAAAUAUUUAUACAUAUGCAUGCAAAGCAAAUGUAAGAGCAAUUUUUAUAAGAAACUGAGCAGGAACAUGACAACUACAUGUAUAAAAGUUACUGCAAUAAAAUUAAAUAUCAAAACUGCACAAAAUAAAUAAGGCCACAAAAUUAGAUAUUUCACUUCUCUGCAUAUCUCUGCAUUCAGAGUACAUUUGUAAGAAACUGAGGAGGACCAUGCCAACUGCAUGUAAAAAAAGUUACUACAAUACAUUUAAAUAUCAAAACUGCAUAAAAUAAAUAAGGCUACAAAACAAGAUGCUUUCACCCAACCUGUCUUUUGUGGAAGUCAGUGAGACAGUUGGGCAUGUACUUUACUUUUGAUCAGAGUUUCAAAGUCUGUCUUCUUGCGUUUCACCAUCUUGCCUCCGAGCAUCACAAAUUUAAAGAGAAGGGUUACCGGCAAACGAAUGGUGGUUACCAUGGCAACGAGAAUGCUGCGCGCGUCUGACGCGUGCCUUUCUGUCUUUUUUUUCAAGAUAAAAGACGAGUACAAAAUCAGAUGAGCAUUAAUUAUUUUUAUUUUUUUUCAAUUCAUUUAUUUUUUACAAGCUGUCCCUGACCCGCCCAGAACGUGUCCGCGACCCACUUUUGGGUCGCGACCCACCAGUUGAGAAUCGCUGUAUUAGAUUACAUAUCAAGUUUUAUACACUGUAAAAAGCCCUUCAGUGGCAAUGUCCAUGUGACUUAAUUAUAAAAUGUAUAUAUUUUUUUUUUACAAUAAAUUGAUUUUGUCUUCUUUUACUGACUGCUGAAGUUACAGAAAAGCAAAAAGUGUGAAUGUUUUAAUUACUUAUAAUUUUCUAUCAUAAAUUUGAUUUCCUGGUACUUUACAAUAAACUGAUUUCACAAAACUUAGUUUAAGGACUUACUGAAUAAGUAAAUCCUCAGGACUCUUCCAAUUGGAACCAGUCUGAACUUGUUCUCCCACAAAGCUGCAAGAGUACCUGCCUGGCUUUUUCAUCGACAAACUACACAACUUUGCAUCGCUUUUCUUCUGUGUUCCCGCUCUGCUUCUACAGUGCUGAGUGCUGUCUGAUGCAGGCUAUACACUGAUCAGGAGACAUUCAGAUCAACGCAAAGGACCAAUUCAGCCUCCCCAACUAAGUUCUGUGUGUCCAUGACCACACAUUAGGAAUAGCAGAGACCAGUGCACAUGACGACCUGAAAACACACAGUGUGAGGAUCUACGUUUGCCAUGAGCCAGAUGCAGUGGGAAUUAUAAUCAAGGGAAUCCCUGUGCUGAAAUCUCUCGACAAUCUGGCCAGAGGAUGUAUCUUCAGUACCCAGCGAGACUUCACAAAACCUUUUAGGUCUUUCAAAGACUGUUUGUUGGACUUGACACUCAAAACUGCCCAAAAUCAUCCCCCAGGUUCAUGAGCCUCAAAAGCAAGCUUCUAGCAUAGACAGUCAAAUGUGAUUGUUGACCUCACAUGCCAUACUGACUGUUUUAUUGUUGUUGUUCAAUAAUGUUAUAUUUUUCUGAGUCUAAGUGUGAUUCUUCAGAUUGAUGUACUUGAAUCUCCAGUUUCCUUCAACACAUUGUUGGCCUUUCAAGGCCCUUUUGUGGAACUGGGCCCAAAACAAAUGUCUGGCCUGCACAGUGAAAUAUCUUCUCCAGUUUGAGAAUGCCACGUGUUAUUCUGAGCCUGAUUAGUGUGAUCUCUACAGAAUGAUGUAUAUGAAUCUCCACUUUUCUUUCAAAACAUUGAAAGCCUUUAAAGGACUUUUUGUUGACUGGGCUCAAAACAAGUGCCUAACCUGGACAGUUGUUUCUGUGCAAUAAUGUUAUUCGUUUUUCAUGACCUUGAUGAAUAGGAUUAUGUGGGCCAUGUGGUUGCAUUGGCAGCUCAAUAAAUGUUGUAAAACAAUA